rnacentral:rRNA from 1 species
UACGUAGGGGGCAAGCGUUGUCCGGAAUUAUUGGGCGUAAAGAGCGCGUAGGCGGUCCGGUAAGUCGGUUGUGAAAGUCGGGGGCUCAACCCUCGGAUGCCGAUCGAUACUGUCGGGCUAGAGUGCGGAAGAGGCGAGUGGAAUUCCUGGUGUAGCGGUGAAAUGCGCAGAUAUCAGGAGGAACACCUAUUGCGAAGGCAGCUCGCUGGGACGUAACUGACGCUGAGACGCGAAAGCGUGGGGAGCAAACAGG